UUGGAACCAAAUGGUGAAUGUCUUGGAAAUAUGGGAACUCCUAUGUAUAAGCAGUCAGAGACCUCUAACUCCUUACGGAAGGUGUGGUAUUGAGGAGAAAAGAAGUAACACCAGUGUGAGUUAAGAGUGCUGUCGGGCCCCUGCUGAAGUUCUCUGUUCUGUCUGGGAAGCAGAAACUGAAGUGCAGGUGUCUCCAGCGUUCCUUCCUCUGCCCCUGCCUGGCCGAUCAGCAGCCCCCUUCUGGUGUAGCAGUUGCAGUGUCUCCGUGCAAAGGGACAAUGCUUAGGGCCCAUGGGGGCCUUAAGGACGUUGGUUUUGUCAUCAGUCAGAUGUUACAAUUCUGGUCGUAUUUUUUCUAGCUUUAUAAUAUGAUGCAAGUCACAACUGGUUUGACCUUUGGUUUCCAGUAAAAUUGAAAUAAUAAAACCUCAUGAUUAUUAUUGUGAGAAUUAAAUGGAUAAUGUACAAUGAACUGGGCAUAAUUCUGGCACACAGAACAUAGAAGCUCAAUCCAGCUAUUUCUUCAGAACAGUGCAGGGGGGUUCUUCACUCUCAAAUAAUGAAAGCCUAAAAGCACAUCAUUAGCGAUUUCUUCUUUGGAAAAAAUGUUUCAUUUGCAGUCCUUGACAGAAAUGAAUAAACUCUGAGGUCAUUGUAUCCAUCAGGGUUUUAUAGGAAAUAGAUGGCAUACUCAAAAAGUUUUAACUAAAGAGAUUUUAAUAAAAGGUAUGAACAGAAUUGAAGAAACUCAUAAAAGACGAGGAAGCACUCAGGGCCCAACAGCAGGAAAAAUAAAACAGUGCAAU
ensembl:lncRNA